rnacentral:rRNA from 1 species
CUUAACACAUGCAAGUCGAGGGGCAGCAUGGUCUUAGCUUGCUAAGGCCGAUGGCGACCGGCGCACGGGUGAGUAACACGUAUCCAACCUGCCGUCUACUCUUGGACAGCCUUCUGAAAGGAAGAUUAAUACAAGAUGGCAUCAUGAGUCCGCAUGUUCACAUGAUUAAAGGUAUUCCGGUAGACGAUGGGGAUGCGUUCCAUUAGAUAGUAGGCGGGGUAACGGCCCACCUAGUCUUCGAUGGAUAGGGGUUCUGAGAGGAAGGUCCCCCACAUUGGAACUGAGACACGGUCCAAACUCCUACGGGAGGCAGCAGUGAGGAAUAUUGGUCAAUGGGCGAGAGCCUGAACCAGCCAAGUAGCGUGAAGGAUGACUGCCCUAUGGGUUGUAAACUUCUUUUAUAAAGGAAUAAAGUCGGGUAUGGAUACCCGUUUGCAUGUACUUUAUGAAUAAGGAUCGGCUAACUCCGUGCCAGCAGCCGCGGUAAUACGGAGGAUCCGAGCGUUAUCCGGAUUUAUUGGGUUUAAAGGGAGCGUAGAUGGAUGUUUAAGUCAGUUGUGAAAGUUUGCGGCUCAACCGUAAAAUUGCAGUUGAUACUGGAUAUCUUGAGUGCAGUUGAGGCAGGCGGAAUUCGUGGUGUAGCGGUGAAAUGCUUAGAUAUCACGAAGAACUCCGAUUGCGAAGGCAGCCUGCUAAGCUGCAACUGACAUUGAGGCUCGAAAGUGUGGGUAUCAAACAGGAUUAGAUACCCUGGUAGUCCACACGGUAAACGAUGAAUACUCGCUGUUUGCGAUAUACUGCAAGCGGCCAAGCGAAAGCGUUAAGUAUUCCACCUGGGGGAGUACGCCGGCAACGGUGAAACUCAAAGGAAUUGACGGGGGCCCGCACAAGCGGAGGAACAUGUGGUUUAAUUCGAUGAUACGCGAGGAACCUUACCCGGGCUUAAAUUGCAGAUGAAUUACGGUGAAAGCCGUAAGCCGCAAGGCAUCUGUGAAGGUGCUGCAUGGUUGUCGUCAGCUCGUGCCGUGAGGUGUCGGCUUAAGUGCCAUAACGAGCGCAACCCUUGUUGUCAGUUACUAAAAGGUUCCGCUGAGGACUCUGACAAGACUGCCAUCGUAAGAUGUGAGGAAGGUGGGGAUGACGUCAAAUCAGCACGGCCCUUACGUCCGGGGCUACACACGUGUUACAAUGGGGGGUACAGAGGGCCGCUACCACGCGAGUGGAUGCCAAUCCCCAAAACCUCUCUCAGUUCGGACUGGAGUCUGCAACCCGACUCCACGAAGCUGGAUUCGCUAGUAAUCGCGCAUCAGCCACGGCGCGGUGAAUACGUUCCCGGGCCUCGUACACACCGCCCGUCAAGCCAUGAGAGCCGGGGGUACCUGAAGUGCGUAAACGGGAGGAGCGCCCUAGGGUAAAACUGGUGACUGGGGCUA